GUGGGGAAUCUUGCGCAAUGGGCGAAAGCCUGACGCAGCCAUGCCGCGUGGAUGAUGAAGGUCUUAGGAUUGUAAAAUCCUUUCACCGGUGAAGAUAAUGACUGUAGCCGGAGAAGAAGCCCCGGCUAACUUCGUGCCAGCAGCCGCGGUAAUACGAAGGGGGCUAGCGUUGCUCGGAUUUACUGGGCGUAAAGGGCGCGUAGGCGGACAUUUAAGUCAGGGGUGAAAUCCCGGGGCUCAACCUCGGAACUGCCUUUGAUACUGGGUGUCUUGAGUAUGAGGGAGGUGUGUGGAACUCCGAGUGUAGAGGUGAAAUUCGUAGAUAUUCGGAAGAACACCAGUGGCGAAGGCGACACACUGGCUCAUUACUGACGCUGAGGCGCGAAAGCGUGGGGAGCAAACAGGAUUAGAAACCCCAGUAGUCC
rnacentral:rRNA from 1 species